GGCAGGAUGAGACCCUCCCUGCCCACAGACUGUCUCACCAGUGAGAUAUGCUCUGGUUAUCUCCCGCUUGGACUACUGCCAUGCGCUCUCCUGGGGCUGCCUAGGAGGAACUGUGAAUGAAGGAUUGUAAUAAGAAAAGCUGCAGAAGGGAAGGAGGGAAGUCAGCGGCUCUACGGAGCAUAUAAAAGCUGUUUUGUCUCCCGCUGAACCACUGUGAUUUCAACAGCAUAAUGCAGAACUACAUGUUUCCAUGAGUCAAGAAGUUCUGAAGGUUUAAACAUUUUCUUGGAUUCUCCACCACCACCUUUCUCCCAACAAGCUCAAGUCAACAUGCAUGGAUCUGUCCUCUCGAUUUUAUCUUCACAGUACCCUUGUGGGGUAGUUUAGUUGUAGUGUUACGUCCCAUAGGUCCCUCCAGUUCAUUUGCAUUCAACACCCUUGUCGGUUUCCUUCCCUCCACUGCUAGCUCCUUGCCGAUUUCUUAUUCACAAACCUGUUAACAAUCUAAGUAAAAGCUGCCAGAAAUCCAAAUUGCCUUAACAGUGUAAGCAAACACGUUCACCGCCUCCGCCCCCUCGAAUUUAAAUGGCUUUUUUUCAGUGUCCCAGAGCACCUAAAAGACUAAUGUAGGGAAAACAUCAUUCUCACCCAACACAGCAGCCACCUUUACCAAUAUUUUUGUACAGGUUAGGGAUGGCUGUUCUCCACGUUAAACCAAGGUCAUUAUAAGCAAUGGACAUGAGCGUUAGCCCUUGGAUUCCAGGCGAUGUUUCAUAGC